rnacentral:lncRNA from 7 species
UGGGACUUAUGUUUUUAUCUAAGUAACCCAAAUAGUCUUACUUAUAGAGAAUAGGUUUCUCUUUGGAAAAGCAUGUAAUCUAACAUGAAAAGAAAAAUCAAUCCAAUGAUUUAUAAUGUACUUCUACCUGCUUAAAAUUGGAUUUGAUUCUUUCACAUCUAUCGCUUUCCAUAUUAUGAAUUAGAUUUAUUCCCUCAAUCUUAAAGGAUUGUUUAUGCUUGUUUUAUGAGUUAAAAUUGAGCAUAACAUCAUCUAUGGAUAAUCUAGUUCAUGCUAUGAAGUUUCCAUGUUUUAGUAAUCUAGCUUCCCAUUCCUUAUCAAAAUGAUUACAAAAAUGGAAACUAGUGCUUGUGUUGCUACUAACAUUUCUCUUGAGUUCAAUUAUGAAAAUCUACAAGAAAGAAAGUGCACAAGCCUCGUGGGUUGCUCUUCACCUAAAGGAAGAAAGGUAAAAGCAAAGGUAUGGGAACUUUUCUUCUUAAUCAAGUUUAGUUCCCAUCUCAAUGGAUACUUAAUCUACAUUAUCAUAUUCUAUCCAUGUGAGGAAUGGAUUCUUGAUUGGACCUAAAAUUAACUAGAUGUGCAUUCAAUCUCAUUCUUAAAAAUGCAUUUGUCCGUUAGAAUCUAUUUCAUGCCUUUGCUAUAUAUGUUCUCAUAUUGACUUACCUCAAAGUGAUGAUUAAUAAAUUCAAUAUGAAGAAGUAAAUUUCCUGUGAUUGAUCAAAAUGUUUAGAUAGUGCAUAUUUCUUUUGAUGUGCACUAAUGUCAAGAAAUUUACCUCAUGUCUAUGUGACUUAUGGAUGAUGAAUUGUUCUUAUCUUCUAUCUAAAGAAACCAUCAUUCAUCAUUUACUCCCUUGCGCUAUUAACAUCUCUCUUGAGUAUUUUCAAUAAGUUUAGAAGGAAAAAGAGACAACCACAAAAGGAGGACACUCAAAUGAAAAAGGAAGAACAUCAAGGACAACAACACCUACUUGGACAAUAAGGUCUUCACAACAAUCAAUGGUGUGGUUGUAAGCAUUUUAAAUCUUUUUCAUUAUGAGAGUACCAGGCUUAAGUUGUUUAUUGCAAAUUUUAUAAGCCUUGAUCAAGAUAUAUAAUGCUUCUCCCUAUAUAUCUUUAAAAGUAAAAGCAUUGAAUCAAUUCUUUCAAAUACUUGAUGCAUAUCUUUAGGGGGAGUCUGUUCUUAUAUCUUGAUUAUGUUGAGACUAUUACUUUAUCUUAGAAAUUUCAUAUAGUCUCUUGAAUGAGAAUAAGUUUCUCAUAAAGUAUGCUACUACACAUCAAUCCAACUUGUAAAAUUAAUGUCGCUUUUAUCAAGGAUUGUAGCUUUCAAUGUUAAAGUAGCAUAUUUAUCGGAUUCUCCUAUUUAUGAGCAUGUUUGAAAAUCUAAUGCCUAUGUUGUUCUUUUGAUCGCAUCUAUUUUAUGAUCAUUGAAUAACUUCAAUUAUCAUUUAUGCUUCUUAGUGCUUCAUGCAGUUUCAAUUUGAUUUCAAUUGGUAAUUUCAAUCGACAUCUAUCUUGAUAUGCACUAAGUUAAAAGGAGAAUUCAUGAUUUAUUUAUGCAAUUUGUGAUCUUCUUGAUACAUAAUAACAUGGCUUAGAAAAGGAUCACAAGUUGUAGAACUCUCUCUUGUGCAAAAUAUUCUCAUGCUUUGUCUUGAGUAUAGGUCUUAAGCGACUAAGACUAAGGACAAAGCACAAUGAAGAGAGCAUCUCUAUGUGAAGGUACAAAAGGGUAAAACUAUUCAAUCUUAUUCAUACAUGUACCUAAAUCUUCCUCUCAUAUACAUUCUUUGCAUAUCUUGUAUAAAAGGAAGAGAAAGCAUGACCUUUGCAUUUAUCCCUGCUUCACACCUAGUUUCACCUCUUAAAAUUUCACUCAUGCAUUAUUGCAUCUUUGCUAAAACUAGAUGAAGUGGUUCUAUUGUCAAAGAGCUUAAAGCUUAACCUUGUAACGAGGAUAAGCUACCUUUGUUCCAAAGGUGGAUGGUCCUUAAGUCUCUUUGAAAUCUUUAAAGGAAAAUGCUUAAAACGUUUGCAACAUGCUUUCAUAAGUGCAUAAACUGUCUUGAGCAUCACACAUAUACUAUGACACAAUGCACUUCACUUUCUCUAUGAUAUAGACUUGUUCUCAUUAACCUAAUUAUGUGCCCUUGGCAUUUAAGGCCAAAAUAUGUAUUCCUCUCAAGGCACAUAUUUAGGAGGAGAAAUCUAUAUUAUACAGAACUAUGAUCAUGCUUAAUUGACAUAUCUCUUGAUCAUAUCUCUUUCAUUUUGGUACAAAUGCAUAUAUCCUAUUAUUCCUGUACCAUGACUACGACUAAUAUGUUUCCAAGUAUAUUACUAUGCUAAGUCGUAGAUUGAAAGGGAAAUGGAGUCUUCGGCGAAGACAAGGCUUCCACUCAACUCUAUUGGUAUUAUCUACCCUUCGCCAUCACUCCAUACUAUCUCUCCACAUUGGUAUAACCUUUCACUCAUAUAUUAUUUACCAAAGGGGGAGACAACUUAUAGAAAGGGCUUAUAUCUCAUUCUAAGUAUCCGUUUUUGGCGAUUCAUGCCAAAGGGGGAGAAAGUAUUAGCCCAAAGCAAAUGGACCGCACCACCACCAAAUUAAAAAUUUCGUGUUUCAAAAGAAUUUUAUCGAUUGGUAUCCUAUUAUGUUCAAAAGGGGGAGAAAGUAGUAUUUCAAAAAGGGUAUGUCAAAAACCCUCUUGAACACUAAGAGGUGGAUCUAUUUUAUGGGGAGUUUUGUUUAGUCAAAGGAAAAGCAUUCAAAACAGGGGAAGAAAAAUUCAAAUCUUGAAAAUGCUUUGGAAACUCUUAUUCAUUUACCUUUGACUAUUUGCAAAAGAUCUUUGAAAAGAAUUUACAAAAGAAUUUGCAAAAACAAAACAUGUGGUGCAAGCGUGGUCCAAAAUG